UACGGGGGGGGCGAAGCGUUGUUCGGAAUUACUGGGCGUAAAGGGCUCGUAGGCGGCCAACUAAGUCGGAUGUGAAAUCCCCAGGCUUAACCUGGGAACUGCAUCCGAUACUGGAUGGCUUGAAUUCGGGAGAGGGAUGCAGAAUUCCAGGUGUAGCGGUGAAAUGCGUAGAUAUCUGGAGGAAUACCGGUGGCGAAGGCGGCAUCCUGGACCGAGAUUGACGCUGAUGAGCGAAAGCUAGGGGAGCAAACGGGG
rnacentral:rRNA from 1 species